CCUACGGGUGGCAGCAGUGGGGGAUAUUGCACAAUGGGGGGAACCCUGAUGCAGCGACGCCGCGUGGGUGAUGGAGCGUUUCGGCGCGUAAAGCCCUAUCGGCAGGGAAGAAGAUGACGGUAUCUGACCAAGAAGCCCCGGCUAACUCCGUGCCAGCAGCCGCGGUCAUACGUGGGGGGCAAGCGUUAUCCGGAUUUACUGGGGGUAACGGCGGCGCAGACGGCAAUGCAAGCCAGGAGUGAAAGCCCGGGGCCCAACCCCGGGACUGCUCUGGGAACUGCAUGGCUGGAGUACAGGAGGGGCAGGCGGAAUACCGGGUGUAGCGGUGAAAUGGGUAGAUAUUAGGGGGAACACCGGUGGCGAAGGCAGCCUGCUGGAC
rnacentral:rRNA from 1 species